AGUGAACGCUGGCGGUAGGCCUAACACAUGCAAGUCGAACGGCAGCACAGUAAGAGCUUGCUCUUACGGGUGGCGAGUGGCGGACGGGUGAGGAAUACAUCGGAAUCUACUUUUUAGUGGGGGAUAACGUAGGGAAACUUACGCUAAUACCGCAUACGACAUACGGGUGAAAGCAGAGGAUCUUCUGACCUCGCGCGUUUGAAUGAGCCGAUGUCGGAUUAGCUAGUUGGCGGGGUAAAGGCCCACCAAGGCGACGAUCCGUAGCUGGUCUGAGAGGAUGAUCAGCCACACUGGAACUGAGACACGGUCCAGACUCCUACGGGAGGCAGCAGUGGGGAAUAUUGGACAAUGGGCGCAAGCCUGAUCCAGCCAUACCGCGUGGGUGAAGAAGGCCUUCGGGUUGUAAAGCCCUUUUGUUGGGAACGAAAAGCAGCAGGUUAAUACCCCGCUGUUCUGACGGUACCCGAAGAAUAAGCACCGGCUAACUUCGUG
rnacentral:rRNA from 1 species